rnacentral:rRNA from 1 species
CGUGUAGGCGGUUUAAUAAGUCAGAUGUUAAAGCUCCCGGCUCAACCGGGGAACGUCAUUUGAAACUGUUAAGCUUGAGUGCGAGAGAGGGUAGUGGAGUUCCCAGUGUAGCGGUGAAAUGCGUAGAUAUUGGGAAGAACACCAGUAGCGAAGGCGGCUACCUGGCUCGCAACUGACGCUAAGGCGCGAAAGCGUGGGGAGCAAACA